rnacentral:rRNA from 1 species
CUACGGGAGGCAGCAGUGGGGAAUCUUAGACAAUGGGGGAAACCCUGAUCUAGCCAUGCCGCGUGAGUGAUGAAGGCCCUAGGGUCGUAAAGCUCUUUCGCCAGGGAUGAUAAUGACAGUACCUGGUAAAGAAACCCCGGCUAACUCCGUGCCAGCAGCCGCGGUAAUACGGAGGGGGUUAGCGUUGUUCGGAAUUACUAGGCGUAAAGCGCGCGUAGGCGGAUUAGAAAGUUGGGGGUGAAAUCCCGGGGCUCAACCCCGGAACUGCCUCCAAAACUACUAGUCUAGAGUUCGAGAGAGGUGAGUGGAAUUCCGAGUGUAGAGGUGAAAUUCGUAGAUAUUCGGAGGAACACCAGUGGCGAAGGCGGCUCACUGGCUCGAUACUGACGCUGAGGUGCGAAAGUGUGGGGAGCAAACAGGAUUAGAUACCCUGGUAGUCCACACCGUAAACGAUGAAUGCCAGUCGUCGGGGCGCUUGCGCUUCGGUGACACACCUAACGGAUUAAGCAUUCCGCCUGGGGAGUACGGUCGCAAGAUUAAAACUCAAAGGAAUUGACGGA